rnacentral:rRNA from 1 species
CACAAUGGGCGAAAGCCUGAUGCAGCAACGCCGCGUGAGUGAUGAAGGCCUUCGGGUCGUAAAACUCUGUCCUCAAGGAAGAUAAUGACGGUACUUGAGGAGGAAGCCCCGGCUAACUACGUGCCAGCAGCCGCGGUAAUACGUAGGGGGCUAGCGUUAUCCGGCUUUACUGGGCGUAAAGGGUGCGUAGGCGGUCUUUCAAGUCAGGAGUGAAAGGCUACGGCUCAACCGUAGUAAGCUCUUGAAACUGGGAGACUUGAGUGCAGGAGAGGAGAGUGGAAUUCCUAGUGUAGCGGUGAAAUGCGUAGAUAUUAGGAGGAACACCAGUUGCGAAGGCGGCUCUCUGGACUGU